GAUGAACGCUGGCGGCGUGCCUAAUACAUGCAAGUCGAGCGAACGGACGAGAAGCUUGCUUCUCUGAUGUUAGCGGCGGACGGGCGAGUAACACGUGGAUAACCUACCUAUAAGACUGGGAUAACUUCGGGAAACCGGAUCUAAUACCGGAUAAUAUUUUGAACCGCAUGGUUCAAAAGUGAAAGACGGUCUUGCUGUCACUUAUAGAUGGAUCCGCGCUGCAUUAGCUAGUUGGUAAGGUAACAGCUUGCCAAGGCAACGAUGCGUAGCCGACCUGAGAGGGUGAUCGGCCACACUGGAACUGAGACACGGUCCAGACUCCUACGGGAGGCAGCAGUGGGGAAUCUUCCGCAAUGGGCGAAAGCCUGACGGAGCAACGCCGCGUGAGUGAUGAAGGUCUUCGGAUCGUAAAGCUCUGUUAUUAGGGAAGAACAUAUGUGUAAGUAACUGUGGACGUCUUGACGGUACCUAAUCAGAAAGCCACGGCUAACUACGUG
rnacentral:rRNA from 1 species